rnacentral:rRNA from 1 species
UACGUAGGGUGCGAGCGUUAAUCGGAAUUACUGGGCGUGAAGUGUGCGCAGGCGGCUGAGCAAGUCGAGUGUGAAAGCCCCGGGCUUAACUUGGGAAUUGCGCUCGAAACUACUUGGCUGGAGUGUGGCAGAGGAGGGUGGAAUUCCACGUGUAGCGGUGAAAUGCGUAGAGAUGUGGAGGAACACCAAUGGCGAAGG